AUGCGAAAUGAUUGUCGGCCCGAAAUUGUAGGAUUGGGAACUCCUCUGGGUUGCUCUUUGCUUAUACAUGCAACAAAAUAUAUUGCACUUCCACUGAUCACAGUUCAUCUCUACAUUCUCAGUAGGCGCUGGUGCUUAUGGUUUAACUGCUAUUGUCGUUGGAACCAUUGGCUAUUUAUGCGUAGAUGGAAGGGAUGGAAAAUUUCUGAUAUGAUGUUUGUGACCAAGCGUGGCUUGGCUGAUGGGUGCAACAUAGCUGCCAAACAAUUGAAUCAGGUUUCAAAAAAUGUUCAUGUAAGACUUUUUUUCCCUAUAUUCAGUAAAUAG
rnacentral:rRNA from 1 species